UACGGAGGGUGCGAGCGUUAAUCGGAAUUACUGGGCGUAAAGGGUGCGUAGGUGGUUUAAUAAGUUAUCUGUGAAAUUCCUGGGCUUAACCUAGGGUGGUCAGAUAAGACUGUUAGGCUUGAGUAUGGGAGAGGGUAGUGGAAUUUCCGGUGUAGCGGUGAAAUGCGUAGAGAUCGGAAGGAACACCAGUGGCGAAGGCGGCUACCUGGCCCAAUACUGACGCUGAGGCACGAAAGCAUGGGGAGCAAACAGG
rnacentral:rRNA from 1 species